CAAGCCGAUGAUCCGUAGGGGGCGUGAGAGCGUGGCCCCCCACACUGGCACUGAGACACGGGCCAGACUCCUACGGGAGGCAGCAGUGAGGAAUAUUGCACAAUGGGCGCAAGCCUGAUGCAGCAACGCCGCGUGCGGGACGAAGGCCUUCGGGUCGUAAACCGCUUUUCUGGGGAAAGAGCAAGGACGGUACCUCAGGAAUAAGUCUCGGCUAACUACGUGCCAGCAGCCGCGGUAAAACGUAGGAGGCGAGCGUUAUCCGGAUUUACUGGGCGUAAAGCGCACGCAGGCGGCUCCGUGAGUCGGACGUGAAAGCUCUCGGCUUAACCGGGAGAGGCCGUUCGAUACUGCGGGGCUUGAGGUAGGGAGAGGAAUGCGGAAUUCCCGGUGUAGUGGUGGAAUGCGUAGAUAUCGGGAGGAACACCUGUGGCGAAAGCGGCAUUCUGGCCCUCACCUGACGCUGAGGUGCGAAAGCGUGGGUAGCAAACAGGAUUAGAUACCCUGGUAGUCCACGCCGUAAACGAUGUCAACUGGGUGUCGGUAGUUUUACACUAGCGGUGCCGAAGCUAACGCG
rnacentral:rRNA from 1 species